GAUGAACGCUGGCGGCGUGCUAACACAUGCAAGUCGAACGGUGAAGCAGGAGCUUGCUCUUGUGGAUCAGUGGCGAACGGGUGAGUAACACGUGAGCAACCUGCCCCUGACUCUGGGAUAAGCGCUGGAAACGGCGUCUAAUACUGGAUAUGUGAUGUGACCGCAUGGUCUGCAUCUGGAAAGAAUUUCGGUUGGGGAUGGGCUCGCGGCCUAUCAGCUUGUUGGUGAGGUAAUGGCUCACCAAGGCGUCGACGGGUAGCCGGCCUGAGAGGGGGACCGGCCACACUGGGACUGAGACAGGGCCCAGAAUCGUACGGGAGGCAGCAGUGGGGAAUAUUGCACAACGGGCGGAAGCCUGAUGCGGCAACGCCGCGUGAGGGAUGACGGCCUUCGAGUUGUAAACCACUUUUAGCGGGGAAGAAGCGAAAGUGACGGUACCUGCAGAAAAAGCACCGGCUAACUACGUGCCAGCCGCCGCCGUAA
rnacentral:rRNA from 1 species